GACCAAUUGUAUCACUGUGUGGUACGCUCCUACACAAUAUUGGGCACUAUAUUGAUUAUUUUCUUGUUCCACUUGUUAAAAAACAAUAUACAUAUAUAAAAGAUACGUCAAGUUUUAUUAAUUCGAUUGAAAAUAUAAAACCCCAAAGAGACUGCUAUCUAGUAACAUUCGAUGCAAAAAACAUGUACACUUGCUUUACAUUUAAUGAAAUACUAGAAGCCACUAACGCGGCACUGACCAAUAUUGACCCAAGUGAGUAUGAAAUCAAAG
rnacentral:lncRNA from 1 species